UAUUCAAAAUUCACAUUUUAAAGGUUUUCUAGCAGUCAUAUGUGUUCUCAUAGCCUGUAUAUGAGGCCCAAAAAUGAGAAAAUUCUGUCACCUCUCUCGCUUGCUUGCUCC